UACGUAGGGUGCGAGCGUUGCCCGGAUUUACUGGGCGUAAAGGGCGCGCAGGCGGCUAUCCAAGUCAGGCGUGAAAGCCCCGGGCUUAACCUGGGAGGUGCGUCUGGGACUGGGUGGCUAGAGUUCGGGAGAGGAGAGUGGAAUUCCCAGUGUAGAGGUGAAAUUCGUAGAUAUUGGGAAGAACACCGGUGGCGAAGGCGGCUCUCUGGACCGAGACUGACGCUGAGACACGAAGGCCAGGGGAGCAAACGGG
rnacentral:rRNA from 1 species